AGCGGCAAUAGCUCAAAUUUGAAAUCUGGCUCUCUUUGGGGGUCCGAGUUGUAAUUUGCAGAGGGUGCUUUGGCGUUGACGGCGGUCUAAGUUCCUUGGAACAGGACAUCGCAGAGGGUGAGAAUCCCGUUUGUGGUCGCCAGUCUUCACCGUGUAAAGCCCCUUCGACGAGUCGAGUUGUUUGGGAAUGCAGCUCUAAAUGGGAGGUAAAUUUCUUCUAAAGCUAAAUACCGGCCAGAGACCGAUAGCGCACAAGUAGAGUGAUCGAAAGAUGAAAAGCACUUUGGAAAGAGAGUCAAAUAGCACGUGAAAUUGUUGAAAGGGAAGCGCUUGCAGCCAGACUUGCCUGUAGUUGCUCAUCCGGGCUCUUGCCCGGAGCACUCUUCUGCAGGCAGGCCAGCAUCAGUUUGGGCGGCUGGAUAAAGACCUCUGUCAUGUAUCUUCCUUCGGGAUGACCUUAUAGGGGAGGUGUAAUGCAGUCAGCCUGGACUGAGGUCCGCGCAUUUGCUAGGAUGCUGGCGUAAUGGCUGUAAGCGGCCCGUCUUGAAACACGGACCAAGGAGUCUAACAUCUAUGCGAGUGUUUGGGUGUCAAGCCCGGGCGCGCAAUGAAAGUGAACGGAGGUGGGAACCCUCUCGGGGGUGCACCAUCGACCGAUCCUGAUGUCUUCGGAUGGAUUUGAGUAAGAGCAUAGCUGUUGGGACCCGAAAGAUGGUGAACUAUGCUUGAAUAGGGUGAAGCCAGAGGAAACUCUGGUGGAGGCUCGC
rnacentral:rRNA from 1 species